rnacentral:rRNA from 1 species
GAUGAACGCUAGCGGGAGGCUUAACACAUGCAAGGUCGAGGGGUAAAUGGUAGCAAUACUAUGAGACCGGCGGACGGGUGCGUAACGCGUAUGCAACAUACCUUGUGCAGGGGGAUAGCCCGUGGAAACGCGGAUUAAUAUUCCAUAGUCCAGCUAUAUCGCAUGGUAUAGUUGGUAAAGAUUUAUCGGCACAAGUUUGGCAUGCGUCUGAUUAGCUUGUUGGUAGGGUAACGGCCUACCAAGGCUACGAUCAGUAGGGGUUCUGAGAGGAUUAACCCCCACACUGGUACUGAGACACGGACCAGACUCCUACGGGAGGCAGCAGUGAGGAAUAUUGGUCAAUGGGCGGAGGCCUGAACCAGCCAUCCCGCGUGAAGGAAGACAGCCUUACGGGUUGUAAACUUCUUUUCUGUCAGAAGAAUAAGCUUGUCGAGACGAGUGAUGCCGGUAUGACAGGAAUAAGCAUCGGCUAACUCCGUG